rnacentral:rRNA from 1 species
AUUGAACGCUGGCGGCAGGCCUAACACAUGCAAGUCGAGCGCGCGGCGGACGGGUGAGUACUGUCUGGGAAACUGCCUGAUGGAGGGGGAUAACUACUGGAAACAGUAGCUAAUACCGCAUACCAUCAGAUGUGCCCAGAUGGGAUUCGCUAGUAGGUGGGGUAAUGGCUCACCUAGGCGACGAUCCCUAGCUGGUCUGAGAGGAUGACCAGCCACACUGGAACUGAGACACGGCCCAGACUCCUACGGGAGGCAGCAGUGGGGAAUAUUGCACAAUGGGCGCAAGCCUGAUGCAGCCAUGCCGCGUGUGUGAAGAAGGCCGUCGGGUUGUAAAGCACUUUCAGCGGGGAGGCGUUACCCGAAGAAGAAGCACCGGCUAACUCCGUGCCAGCAGCCGCGGUAAUUC